UGGCUCUCGCAUCGAUGAAGAACGCAGCGAAAUGCGAUAAGUAAUGUGAAUUGCAGAAUUCAGUGAAUCAUCGAAUCUUUGAACGCACCUUGCGCCCCUUGGCAUUCCAAGGGGCAUGCCUGUUUGAGUGUCUCGUACAUUGUUCAUCCGUCGGCGGUGUCUCUGACGCUGCUGGCCGAGAUGGUGUUGGGGGUUGCUGCCUCGGUGGCUCUUCCUCAAAUGCAUUAGCCUUGACCCUCAGUGGGGCCCACCUGGUGUGAUAGACAUCAACGCCGCUUGUGGCCCUCUGAAUUGGAGGCUCAGAGUUGGUAGGUCGCAUGGCCUGCUCUUUGACACAUUUGACCUCAAAUCAGGUAGGAUUACCCGCUGA
rnacentral:misc_RNA from 1 species